UGCGGAGGAUGCGAGCGUUAUCCGGAUUUAUUGGGUUUAAAGGGUGCGUAGGCGGAGUGCCAAGUCAGCGGUAAAAGUUCGGGGCUCAACCCCGUCGUGCCGUUGAAACUGGCGCCCUUGAGUGGGCGAGAAGUAUGCGGAAUGCGUGGUGUAGCGGUGAAAUGCAUAGAUAUCACGCAGAACCCCGAUUGCGAAGGCAGCAUACCGGCGCCCGACUGACGCUGAAGCACGAAAGCGUGGGUAUCGAACAGG
rnacentral:rRNA from 1 species